UACGGGGGGAGCAAGCGUUGUUCGGAUUUACUGGGCGUAAAGGGCGCGUAGGCGGCGCCGCAAGUCGACUGUGAAAUCUCCGGGCUUAACCCGGAAAGGUCAGCCGAUACUGCGGGGCUAGAGUGCAGAAGGGGGCAACUGGAAUUCUCGGUGUAGCGGUGAAAUGCGUAGAUAUCGAGAGGAACACCUGCGGCGAAGGCGGGUUGCUGGGCUGACACGUGACGCUGGAUGCGCGAAAGCUAGGGGAGCGAACGGG
rnacentral:rRNA from 1 species